rnacentral:rRNA from 1 species
AUUGAACGCUGGCGGCAGGCCUAACACAUGCAAGUCGAGCGGGGUUUUCGGACCUAGCGGCGGACGGGUGAGUAAUGCGUAGGAAGCUACCCGAUAGAGGGGGAUACCAGUUGGAAACGACUGUUAAUACCGCAUAAUGUCUACGGACCAAAGUGUGGGACCUUCGGGCCACAUGCUAUCGGAUGCGCCUACGUGGGAUUAGCUAGUUGGUGGGGUAAUGGCUCACCAAGGCGACGAUCCCUAGCUGGUUUGAGAGGAUGAUCAGCCACACUGGAACUGAGACACGGUCCAGACGCCUACGGGAGGCAGCAGUGGGGAAUAUUGGACGAUGGGCGCAAGCCUGAUCCAGCAAUGCCGCGUGUGUGAAGAAGGCCUUCGGGUUGUAAAGCACUUUAGCCUGGAAAGAAAAAACUUUGGUUAACUCCCAAAGUCUUGACGGUACCAGGAGAAUAAGCACCGGCUAACUCUGUGCCAGCAGCCGCAGUAAUAC